UACGUAGGGUGCAAGCGUUGUCCGGAAUUAUUGGGCGUAAAGAGCUCGUAGGCGGUUUGUUGCGUCGGCUGUGAAAUCCCGAGGCUCAACCUCGGGUCUGCAGUCGAUACGAGCAAACUAGAGUGUUGCAGGGGAGACUGGAAUUCCUGGUGUAGCGGUGAAAUGCGCAGAUAUCAGGAGGAACACCGGUGGCGAAGGCGGGUCUCUGGGCAACAACUGACGCUGAGGAGCGAAAGCGUGGGGAUCAAACAGG
rnacentral:rRNA from 1 species